rnacentral:rRNA from 1 species
GCCUGUGAAAUGAAUCUAAGUUCUCUCUUUAAUUUCCUCUCCCGGACACUAAGCAUCCAAACCAUCAUGUGAUAAAUCAAGAGUAAUUUAAAGGAGGUACAGCUCCYUUAAAAAAGAAUACAACCUCCCCUAGCGGAUAACUACCCGACCGCCCCCAAACUUUAGCCCUUAAGGCGCCCCCCAACAAGGAGGCCGUAAAAGUUUUAUUCUCAAAAAAUCCAAAAACAACAGGACUCCCUUAUCCAUAACAGGCCAACCUAUAACAAUAGGAGAAUCAAUGCUAAAAUGAGUAAUCGGGGGCCACCCUCUAGAGCGCAAGCUUACAUCACCACAUUAUUAACAGACCUUAAACUAAUACUCCCAACCCAACAAGCCAAGUAUUAAAUCUGCCCUGUUAGCCCAACUCAGGAGCGCCCAUUAGAAAGAUCCAAAUCUGCAAAAGGAACUAGGCAACCUCAAGGCCCGACUGUUUACCAAAAACAUAGCCUUCAGCCAACCAAGUAUUGAAGGUGAUGCCUGCCCAGUGACACUCUGUUUAACGGCCGCGGUAUCCUAACCGUGCGAAGGUAGCGCAAUCAAUUGUCCCAUAAAUCGAGACUUGUAUGAAUGGCUAAACGAGGUCUUAACUGUCUCUUGCAGAUAAUCAAUGAAAUUGAUCUUCCUGUGCAAAAGCAGGAAUAAACCCAUAAGACGAGAAGACCCUGUGGAACUUAAAAAUCAGCAACCACCAUGCACACCCCAAAACCUACUAGGCCCACGACCCUAACAAGACACUGGUCUGCAUUUUUCGGUUGGGGCGACCUUGGAGAAAAACAAAUCCUCCAAAAACAAGACCAYACCUCUUGACCAAGAGCAACCCCUCGACGUACUAACAGCAACCAGACCCAAUAUAAUUGACCAAUGGACCAAGCUACCCCAGGGAUAACAGCGCAAUCCCCUCCAAGAGCCCAUAUACGAGGGGGUUUACGACCUCGAUGUUGGAUCAGGACAUCCUAAUGUUGCAGCCGCUAUUAAGGGUUCAUUUGUUCAACGAUUAACAGUCCUACGUGAUCCGAGUCAAGACCGGAGCAAUCCAGGUCGGGUUCUA